AUGGUGGCGCGACUGGAGCAGGCCUUCAAAGAGUGCUCGGAUGGCCGCGCCUUCUUCGGCGGUGACGCCGUGGGGUACGUCGACGUCGUGCUCGGGAGCAACCUGUUCUGGUUCGAGGCGCUGCGGAGGUUGUUCGGCGUGCGGCUGGUCGACGAGGGGAGGACCCCGCUGCUGGCCGCGUGGGCGGGGCGGUUCGGUGAAGCCGCGGCGGCGAACGGGGUGGUGACGGACGCGCUCGUCGACAUGGCGGUGGAGCACGCCAAGAAGCUCCGGGCUGCUGCCAUGGCUGCCGGCAAGUGA
rnacentral:rRNA from 1 species